rnacentral:tmRNA from 1 species
GGGGAUGAAACUGGUUUUCGACUUAGAUGACUAGGGUGUCAUAAAUUGCGAUGUCCGGAUUGCGCUACUCCGGGUAGAUCCGUCUAGUGCAACAAUAAGUGCUGAAGAAAAUGUUGCUGGAUAUGAAGCAUUCUUUGCUAACUCUGCAGUUACUGCAUAGUUAUCCACACUACUUAGCUUUAGUGGGCCAAUAGUGCCUGCGACCAUUUUAGAUUUUGUCUCGGAGUUUAAAAUGGCAAUUAGAGACUAGAAUUUACUUUUGUUUCGGAGUAAAUUUGAAAUUUAAGAAACAGAGAAUUUAAGUUUUUUUGUUAAUUUUAUAGCUUAUCUUCUUUCAAUUUAAAAUUGACUAUCAUUGUAGACGUUUAUGAGCUCCAUUUAAGAACCCGGGUUCGACUCCCGGCAUCUCCACCA